rnacentral:snRNA from 1 species
AGCUUUGCUCAGUGGCAGUGUCACAGCCAAUGAGGUUUUUCCGAGGCGCAAUUAUUGCUAAUUGG